rnacentral:sRNA from 1 species
UCUUUGGCUUGGCACUUGAUAAGUCAGUAAAGAGAUUUAAAGCUAUUAACACGUGCAGAGACAUGUCAAUUUUUUUUUCAAAAUGUCAAUUAUAUAGUUCUUAUCAAGUUUUUAAAAAAAUCUAUAUUAAUAGGCAAGAUUUUUUUUACAAGUUAGGCUAAAGGAUUCGGCUAUUGCUUAUAAUAGUGAUCAAAAGUAGGCCUAAUAUUCCUUACUGAGAUAUUUGUUAAGAAACAUUUUCUUUUGACUAUUCAAGCUAUUGUAAAGUUAAAGAUGUAUACUGUAUUUCAUAAAGAAGUUAAAGAUGUAUACUGUAUUUCAUAAAGAAGUUAAAGAUGUAUACUGUAUUUCAUAAAGAAGUUAAAGAUGUAUACUGUAUUUCAUAAAGAAGUUAAAGAUGUAUACUGUAUUUCAUAAAGAAGUUAAAGAUAUAAGAUUUAGUGACAAGGAUUUUAUACUGCUACUUAAAAACUCCCAAUUCAUGGCGAAUAUUGAAAAUAGACUUUUAAAAUUUAGAAUCUUAUAAACAUUUUAGACUUUAAUGUCCCAAAUAUAUACAAUAGAGAUUUUUUUUAAAAGUAGGUCUAGGUCCUAAAUAAACUGCAUGGCAUUGACUACAGGGGGGCCUACACUUGAUAAAUCCUAUAAUGUCAAGGUUAUUUACGUCUAACCGCUAGGCCCUUUCAGUUAUGUUUACAAUAAGUCGUCACAGUCAUGCCGUUUCUCAUAUCUAAAUAAGAAAUACUUUUUAAAAAAUGAAGACAAUACCCUCUUUAUUCAACACACAGAGACAAUACCCUCUUUAUUCAACACACAGAGACAAUACCCUCUUUAUCCAACACACAAAGACAAUACCCUCUUUAUCCAACACACAGAGACAAUACCCUCUUUAUCCAACACACAGAGACAAUACCCUCUUUAUCCAACACACAGAGACAAUACCCCCUUC